CCCGGUGAACGGCGGCCGUAAUUCUAACGGUCCUAAGGUAGCGAAGUCCCUUGUCGGGUAAGUUCCGACCCGCAUGAAUGGUUGAACGACUUGGCCAUUGUCUCGGCGGAGGGCUCGGUGAAAUUGCGGUGCCCGUGAAGACGCGGGCGACCCGCGGCAGGACAAAAAGACCCCGUGGAGCUUUACUGUAGCCUGGCAUUGGGCUGGGAGCUGUCAUGUGUAGGAUAGGUGGGAGACUUAGAAGUGCCUACGCCAGUAGGUGUGGAGUCGUCGUUGAAAUACCACCCUUGGCUGUUUUUGGUUCUAACCUCAGCAAAACUGGGGAACAGUGCUUGGUGGGCAGUUUAACUGGGGCGGUUGCCUCCAAAAAAGUAACGGAGGCGCCCAAAGGUCCUCUCAGGACGGAUGGAAAUCGUCCACAGAACGCAUUGGCAUAAGAGGGCUUGACUGCGAGACCUACAAGUCGAGCAGGGACGAAAGUCGGGCAAAGUGAUCCUACGGCACCGAGUGGAAGGGCCGUGGCUUAUCGGAUAAAAGCUACCCCGGGGAUAACAGGCUUAUCUCGCCCAAGAGUUCACAUCGACGGCGAGGUUUGGCACCUCGAUGUCGCCUCGUCCCAUCCUGGGGCUGAAGGAGGUCCCAAGGGUUCGGCUGUUCGCCGAUUAAAGGGGUACGUGAGUUGGGUUCAGAACGUCGUGAGACAGUUCGGUCUCUAUCCGCCGUGGGCGCAGGAGGCUUGAGGGAACCUUUCCCUAGUACGAGAGGACCGGGAAGGACAAACCUAUGGUGUUCCAGUUGUUCCGCCAGGAGCAGUGCUGGGUAGCCAUGUUUGGCAGCGAUAAGCGCUGAAGGCAUCUAAGCGCGAAGCAUCCCCCAAGAUAAGGCCUCCCUCCCCGAUUCAGUUCGGGGGUAAGACUGCAGCGAGACUAGCUGCUUGAUAGGCCGGAUGUGUAAGGCUGGCAACAGCUUCAGCAAACCGGUACUAACCAGUCGAGAGAUUUGACCCA
rnacentral:rRNA from 1 species